GAUGAACGCUAGCUACAGGCUUAACACAUGCAAGUCGAGGGGAAACGGCAUCGAAAGCUUGAUUUUGAUGGGCGUCGACCGGCGCACGGGUGAGUAACGCGUAUCCAACCUGCCCAUCACUUGGGAAUAACCUUGCGAAAGUAAGACUAAUGCCCAAUGACAUCCCACGAAGGCAUCCGAAUGGGAUUAAAGAUUUAUCGGUGAUGGAUGGGGAUGCGUCUGAUUAGCUUGUUGGCGGGGUGACGGCCCACCAAGGCAACGAUCAGUAGGGGUUCUGAGAGGAAGGUCCCCCACAUUGGAACUGAGACACGGUCCAAACUCCUACGGGAGGCAGCAGUGAGGAAUAUUGGUCAAUGGGCGAGAGCCUGAACCAGCCAAGUAGCGUGCAGGAUGACGGCCCUAUGGGUUGUAAACUGCUUUUAUAAGGGAAUAAAGUGGGUCACGUGUGACUUUUUGCAUGUACCUUAUGAAUAAGGACCGGCUAAUUCCGUG
rnacentral:rRNA from 1 species